AGAGAAAAAAACGCAAGGUGACGGUACCUGCAGAAGAAGCGCCGGCUAACUACGUGCCAGCAGCCGCGGUAAUACGUAGGGCGCAAGCGUUAUCCGGAAUUAUUGGGCGUAAAGAGCUCGUAGGCGGUUUGUCGCGUCUGCCGUGAAAGUCCGGGGCUCAACUCCGGAUCUGCGGUGGGUACGGGCAGACUAGAGUGAUGUAGGGGAGACUGGAAUUCCUGGUGUAGCGGUGAAAUGCGCAGAUAUCAGGAGGAACACCGAUGGCGAAGGCAGGUCUCUGGGCAUUAACUGACGCUGAGGAGCGAAAGCAUGGGGAGCGAACAGGAUUAGAUACCCUGGUAGUCCAUGCCGUAAACGUUGGGCACUAGGUGUGGGGGACAUUCCACGUUUUCCGCGCCGUAGCUAACGCAUUAAGUGCCCCGCCUGGGAGUACGGCCGCAAGGG
rnacentral:rRNA from 1 species